rnacentral:lncRNA from 1 species
CCUCGUUAAAAUAUCUCUGGUUUGCUAUUUAAGAAAAUAAAAUGGUCGAUCAUGUAUGCACUUGACAUGUAAAUAUAAACAAGAACAAAGAGGUAUCCAAAUGUAUAUCGUGAUUAUACUUAUAUGUUGUAUGAUUAAUACACAAAGUUAAACACACAAACUAAGUGAAUACAAACCAUUCAGAAAAUUGUUCCGCCUUCAUUCUGUUUUUUGAAAAUACAUUAUUUAUAUAUAUAUUUUUUUGCAGCAUAAAAACGUACAUACACAGAUGUAUCAGGUUUCUUCGACAUUGUAGCAUAUAUAUUAUUUGUAUCUCGAUACAAUGUGAAUUAAAAAAGACUAACACCCCUUACAUAGUCAAGUUCGAUAACAUAAGCAUAUUAAUUGUGGCCUUAAAAUUCAUAGUAUUGUUUAAGAAUACAUUUGCAUUGCAGCGAUACAACUUUGAUUUAAAUGUUUAAAAGUCUUGACUUCCUUUUUUCUGCUGAACUACAUAUACAAUCAUCACAUUGCAAAGCGUCUUCAUAAUAAUGAAAAGCUGCGUCAUUGUCACCGGCUAUCUCACAACAUACUCCAAAUAGUGUUAA